rnacentral:rRNA from 1 species
UACGUAGGGUGCGAGCGUUGUCCGGAUUUAUUGGGCGUAAAGAGCUCGUAGGCGGUGUGUCACGUCGGCCGUGAAAACCUACAGCUUAACUGUGGGCGUGCGGUCGAUACGGGCAUCACUGGAGUUCGGCAGGGGAGACUGGAAUUCCUGGUGUAGCGGUGAAAUGCGCAGAUAUCAGGAGGAACACCGGUGGCGAAGGCGGGUCUCUGGGCCGAUACUGACGCUGAGGAGCGAAAGCGUGGGGGAGCGAACAGG